UACGUAGGGGGCAAGCGUUGUCCGGAUUCAUUGGGCGUAAAGAGCGUGUAGGCGGCCAGGUAGGUCGGUUGUGAAAACUGGAGGCUCAACCUUCAGAGGUCGACCGAAACCAUCUGGCUAGAGUCCGGGAGAGGAGAAUGGAAUUCCCGGUGUAGCGGUGAAAUGCGCAGAUAUCGGGAGGAACACCGGUGGCGAAGGCGGUUCUCUGGGCCUCACCUGACGCUGAGGAGCGAAAGCGUGGGGAGCGAACAGG
rnacentral:rRNA from 1 species